GGGCGAAUGGCGGAACUGGCAGACGCAUACGCCUUAGGAGCGUACGGGGCAACCCAUAAGAGUUCGACUCUCUUUUCGCCCACCA
rnacentral:tRNA from 1 species